rnacentral:rRNA from 1 species
ACGAACGCUGGCGGCGUGCCUAAUACAUGCAAGUCGAGCGAGCGGAACUAACAGAUUUACUUCGGUAAUGACGUUAGGAAAGCGAGCGGCGGAUGGGUGAGUAACACGUGGGGAACCUGCCCCAUAGUCUGGGAUACCACUUGGAAACAGGUGCUAAUACCGGAUAAGAAAGCAGAUCGCAUGAUCAGCUUUUAAAAGGCGGCGUAAGCUGUCGCUAUGGGAUGGCCCCGCGGUGCAUUAGCUAGUUGGUAAGGUAAAGGCUUACCAAGGCGAUGAUGCAUAGCCGAGUUGAGAGACUGAUCGGCCACAUUGGGACUGAGACACGGCCCAAACUCCUACGGGAGGCAGCAGUAGGGAAUCUUCCACAAUGGACGCAAGUCUGAUGGAGCAACGCCGCGUGAGUGAAGAAGGUUUUCGGAUCGUAAAGCUCUGUUGUUGGUGAAGAAGGAUAGAGGUAGUAACUGGCCUUUAUUUGACGGUAAUCAACCAGAAAGUCACGGCUAACUACGUGCCAGCAGCCGCGGUAAUACGUAGGUGGCAAGCGUUGUCCGGAUUUAUUGGGCGUAAAGCGAGCGCAGGCGGAAGAAUAAGUCUGAUGUGAAAGCCCUCGGCUUAACCGAGGAACUGCAUCGGAACUGUUUUUCUUGUGUGCAGAAGAGGAGAGUGGAACUCCAUGUGUAGCGGUGGAAUGCGUAGAUAUAUGGAAGAACACCAGUGGCGAAGGCGGCUCUCUGGUCUGCAACUGACGCUGAGGCUCGAAAGCAUGGGUAGCGAACAGGAUUAGAUACCCUGGUAGUCCAUGCCGUAAACGAUGAGUGCUAAGUGUUGGGAGGUUUCCGCCUCUCAGUGCUGCAGCUAACGCAUUAAGCACUCCGCCUGGGGAGUACGACCGCAAGGUUGAAACUCAAAGGAAUUGACGGGGGCCCGCACAAGCGGUGGAGCAUGUGGUUUAAUUCGAAGCAACGCGAAGAACCUUACCAGGUCUUGACAUCUAGUGCCAUUUGUAGAGAUACAAAGUUCCCUUCGGGGACGCUAAGACAGGUGGUGCAUGGCUGUCGUCAGCUCGUGUCGUGAGAUGUUGGGUUAAGUCCCGCAACGAGCGCAACCCUUGUUAUUAGUUGCCAGCAUUAAGUUGGGCACUCUAAUGAGACUGCCGGUGACAAACCGGAGGAAGGUGGGGAUGACGUCAAGUCAUCAUGCCCCUUAUGACCUGGGCUACACACGUGCUACAAUGGGCAGUACAACGAGAAGCGAGCCUGCGAAGGCAAGCGAAUCUCUGAAAGCUGUUCUCAGUUCGGACUGCAGUCUGCAACUCGACUGCACGAAGCUGGAAUCGCUAGUAAUCGCGGAUCAGCACGCCGCGGUGAAUACGUUCCCGGGCCUUGUACACACCGCCCGUCACACCAUGGGAGUCUGCAAUGCCCAAAGCCGGUGGCCUAACCUUCGGGAAGGAGCCGUCUAAGGCAGGGCAGAUGACUGGGGUGAAGUCGUAACAAGGUAACCGUAAAGGGCGA